UGUCAACGUAAAAUUGUCAUGUCAUUGUUGUACUUUGUCGCGACGAUGUGGAGGCCGGGUGUUGUUCAGUCGCACUUUUAUUCGACACACGACUAGACACAAGAUUGAAAAAAAAAACAAUCUUGUCGAAACAACAUUUGCAAAUCGGAUCAAACAUAAAACAUGUUUCCUACAAAAUGCGAACGAGGAUUCGUUCUAUUUAUUUGAGUCAUUCAAAAUCUCGGACAUAAGCGGUGGUGUAAUUUUAUUAAAGAGAAGGGCAACUUGCUCUUGCUGCAGAUGGAAUUAGAAUUUGGUUGAAGUUAUGCUAACCGCUGAACAGCGCGGUAAACGUGCUAAAGGAUCAUGGCGUGCCAGAAACAUCGAUAAUCCUAUCCAACCUUUUCUGCACACCGGUGGCUGCCUCAAUGGUGGUGAAAGCAUUUCCGGACAUGAAAAUUCUUACCUCAGAGCUACACCCGGUGGCACCAAACCACUUUGGGCAGAAGUAUUUUGGUACGGAUUAACCGCGACUUGGCCGCAUGAAUGUUGGUAUUAGUACCGCUACACUAAAAUGUAUCCAAUAAGUACAAGGUGACACUGCGACACAAAUUUGUAACUUAUUUAUUUUUUAAGGCUUUUUAAGGCUCUUUUUUGUAAUCACGUACCGUAUGAGGUUGUUGCGUCCCUUUUUGUCAAAAUUUAGUCUAGUGUAAUAGUGUAUGUCUUAAAGUCUAGAAGAAUGUAAACUGAUAUUUAAAUACAGUCAAUAUAUGGUUUAUUUAGAACUA